UAAAAAGAACCAGUUUAAUUUUGGUGUUGGACUUUCUGAAAAGCAUAAGCUAUCCUCUCAAGAAUGUUUCUCUCUCUAGACCUCACACUCUCCAUUUUUCCUCUGCCUUCUCUCUACCUUUUCUUUCAACUGAACCGUUAGAAUUUCAAUCCGUAGGCGCCUAAACGAUCCUGACGCGAGAGCUUCAAUUGGCACCGAUCAAUUUCAGGAUUCAUUGUUAUGUCGUUGAGGAGGUUCCAAUGGAGGAAGUGUUGGAGGACGCUGAUGUUGCGACUUAGUCCUCCCUAGGUUUUCUUCCUUUUACCUGAUGUCAUUUUGGAAUACUCUUAUCUUUGUAUCAUUUUGCUUAACUCUUUAUGUCUAAGUUUUAGGUUUAGACCUCUUUUACUUGAAAUUCAAACUCUUGAGUUAUAUUUGGAUGACUAUAAUCUUAUAUUUAACUGUCA